UUCAUCAAGAGUAGCUGAGGGAAUGGCCCUAUGACGCUACGGCAACCACGCUUCUGCGAACGGUGCCAAUUCCAUCGGAACAAUAUCCGGCAGAUGAA
rnacentral:ncRNA from 1 species